rnacentral:lncRNA from 1 species
AUAAAACAUAUUUUUCUCAAAUAGAAAAAAAGGCCCAAAAAUCCUCCUCUUUUCAUUGCUCUUCUUCAGUUAUUCGAUUAUGAAUCAAGAAACCCUUCCGUUGGAAUCCACUAACACGUUUCCUUGAUUGAGUCAAACCCAAUUCUUUAAAUUCACCAAGACCCCCCCUCAACGUUUCCUCUAAUGGGUUUCAAUUUGGAUAAAAAUUCAAGAUUAUAUGAUGAUUGUCGCAUUCCAAAGUAGGACAAAUGAAGUAAGAGGUAGACAUAUUGUUUGUCGCCAAAUCGAGAAGAGCUAAAGCGUGUUUCAAAUCACGCUGGAGGGGGGUUUAUUGGAAAUAACGCCGGAAAACGCUGGCGGGAGUGGUGACCGGGCGUUUUUGGGGGGAGAAAACGCCCACUACAGGUGGUCUAAAGCAGCUGUUUGGAAAAUAUAACGAAUUUGUCAGAUUACAGAAACGAUGGUCAUCCAUCAAUUCGUGGAAGAAAAGUUGGUACUGCUUUAAAAGGGUAAGCUUGCAGCCAUUGGAGUUCAGAUGUACAGAAUCAAAUACUGUAUGUUCGUCUACAGUUUACAAUUACAAGAAAAAAAGAAGGUACAUUCAGUGAACUAAUUAUGGUUGCUCAUGACUCACGAGCCGAGCUGAAAAUCUGAGCUCGGCUUGGUUUUUAAACGAGCUGGCUCGGCCCGGCUUGGUUAGGUUUAAGUUUUAGAGAAGAAUUAAUACAUAGCUUUCAGAACUCAAUAGUCUAAAAUAUCUCUCAAUAUAUCUUUAAUAAGCCAAAAUCAAGUUCAACCAAAUACAAAAUAAGU